UACGUAGGUGGCAAGCGUUGUCCGGAUUUAUUGGGUUUAAAGGGUGCGUAGGCGGUUCUGUAAGUCAGUGGUGAAAUACUCCAGCUUAACUGGAGGGGUGCCAAUGAUACUGCAGAACUUGAGUACAGAUGAGGUAGGCGGAAUUGACGGUGUAGCGGUGAAAUGCAUAGAUAUCGUCAAGAACACCUAUAGCGAAGGCAGCUUACUGGGCUGAAACUGACGCUGAGGCACGAAAGUGUGGGGAUCAAACAGG
rnacentral:rRNA from 1 species